rnacentral:rRNA from 1 species
CCUACGGGGGGCAGCAGUGGGGAAUAUUGCACAAUGGGCGCAAGCCUGAUGCAGCCAUGCCGCGUGUGUGAAGAAGGCCUUCGGGUUGUAAAGCACUUUCAGCGAGGAGGAAGGUGGUGAGCUUAAUACGCUCAUCAAUUGACGUUACUCGCAGAAGAAGCACCGGCUAACUCCGUGCCAGCAGCCGCGGUAAUACGGAGGGUGCAAGCGUUAAUCGGAAUUACUGGGCGUAGAGCGCACGCAGGCGGUUUGUUAAGUCAGAUGCGAAAUCCCCGGGCUCAACCUGGGAACUGCAUUUGAAACUGGCAAGCUAGAGUCUCGUAGAGGGGGGUAGAAUUCCAGGUGUAGCGGUGAAAUGCGUAGAGAUCUGGAGGAGUACCGGUGGCGAAGGCGGCCCCCUGGACGAAGACUGACGCUCAGGUGCGAAAGCGUGGGGAGCAAACAGGAUUAGAUACCCGCGUAGUC